GACGAACCGUGCGAACGUUGUUCGGAAUCACUGGGCUUAAAGGGCGCGUAGGCGGACCACCAAGCCCGGGGUGAAAUCUUUCGGCUUAACCGGAAAACAGCCUUGGAUACUGGUGGUCUCGAGUGAGGUAGGGGCCGUUGGAACUUCCGGUGGAGCGGUGAAAUGCGUUGAUAUCGGAAGGAACGCCGGUGGCGAAAGCGAACGGCUGGACCUCUUCUGACGCUGAGGCGCGAAAGCCAGGGGAGCAAACGGG
rnacentral:rRNA from 1 species